UACGGGGGGAGCAAGCGUUGUUCGGAUUUACUGGGCGUAAAGGGCGCGUAGGCGGCUUAACAAGUCACUUGUGAAAUCUCCGGGCUUAACUCGGGACGGCCAAGUGAAACUGUCAAGCUAGAGUGCAGAAGGGGCAAUCGGAAUUCUUGGUGUAGCGGUGAAAUGCGUAGAUAUCGUAAGGAAGACCAGUGGCGAAGGCGAGUCUGUGGACAGUUACUGACGCUGAGGCACGAAGGCCAGGGGAGCAAACGGG
rnacentral:rRNA from 1 species